UAGGAUGUUAGCAAUGUACAGAAAUCUAUGUAUUUGUCAGAGCCGUGGGUACACUCACAGGUUGUUCCACUUCAUAGGUUUUGACUGCCUUUGUUAAAUCAGCUCUGACAUGGCACAGCUGUGGGGUCUUGGUCACAGCUGAAGAACCUUGUCAGGAGGUCUCACUUGGUAUCUAACUAUUUUCAGGCCCUUGCCUUGCAUUCUUACUGCAUCUAGCUCUUGCACUUUGUUGAUCUUGAUCCUGACCCACUGGUGUCCUGACUGAGGGCUUCACCCUGGGCCUGGUGAUCUUUGAGCUGAGGUUGUUCUCCUCAUCAGCCUUGCCCAGCUCUCUUCAUUGGGCACAGCUGGAUGGUGUUCCAUCAAUAUGAGUCUGCCAUGUAUGCCUGGACAUCACAAACAUCCACUGGUUUGACUCUCUUUGUGGAGCAGCCCCCUCACUCUGCUCUCUGUAUCGGCUUUGAAAAACUUGCAGCUGGACAAUAUUUGCAUAUCUGGAAUGUUGGGUUUUUGGUCAAGAUAUAAGAAAGAGUAUGCGCAAUAUACCCCAACUUAUCCCAGCUUGGACAACAUGUUGACUGUCAAGAACAUAGAAGUGCUGAUUGAAAUCUGUGUUUUGUUGGAUCCAGGCCAGCAACUUGAACCUGAGUUGCUAUGCAGCUCCUUUGUGUCCUCAGUGCUCAUAUACUCCUUUAUAAGAAAAUGGUCCACUUGGCAAGGCAAACAUUGUGCCAGAAAAUGGAUGAUUAAUUCCACAAGUAAAAGAUUAAGGUGCUUGUUUGUGAUUUUGAUUAAGGAAUUCCAGCUUUAAAUUGUGCUGUAAUGUUUGUCUAAAAGAGAACAGUUACAACAGAAGGACACAUGGUAAACACAGACAAACCCAAGGACUGCAGCAUCAGCCUGCGAUGCUGGGACCUGGAAAGUAACUGUUUGAAUCUCAUUUCUCAAACAGAUAGAUGAAGGAGUCAGCACACAACUGGAAAUAGAAUUAUUACUUUUUCUUUUUUUUUCCUGGAAAUCCCAGCUCAUUCCUGUUUGUAUAAAGAACUGC
rnacentral:lncRNA from 1 species